GUUCUUGCUUCGGCAGAACAUAUAUUAAAAUUGGAACGAUACAGAGAAGAUUAACAUGGCCCCUGCGCAAGGAUGACGCAAAUCGUUUAGAGGAUGGAUGUCCUCUU
rnacentral:snRNA from 1 species